ensembl:lncRNA
UUUUGUUUUUGGUGGUGUUUAUUUUUUUAAACCCACUUGUAGUUUGGGUUCAGCUGGAAAGCAGGACACACCGACGGAGGGAGGGUGGUCGCGUUAGCGGGGUUCCGCGGCAGCUUUGGGGGGAAGCCCCAGGCCCCUGCUCCGGGGAGGUAGGUCCCGGCCGCCCUCCCAGCCGGCUCAGGGGAGGCGGCCAGCCCUUCCAUGCGAGUGUUCCGAACAGAGGAAAGUCGUCUUUCUCCUGAUCUGCGUCCUCAAAGGCCCAGCCAACAGUUUCCCAACACAGUGCCCUGCAGCUGACGGACACGACUCCCCGGGCAGGCUUGAGAGUCUGUCUGACAAGGAACACAGGCGGCGUCUGAUGCCAGAAAACAGACUGGGACUUGGCUUCUUGGAGGCCCGCGUCUGGGACACCCCAUGGGGCUGCUGUGGUGGCGGCCUGGCUGUCUGGGCCCCCGCCCCUACAGCUGCCCAGGCCUGAUCCGUGGUACAAUUCCCACACCCCCCACCCUCAUCCCUUGGAGAAAAUAAAAUAGAAUAAAAUAAAAAUCAGAAUAAAUACCGACUCGGCCAACAUUUACAUUUACAUGAAUGGACAGGACGAUCCCCAAACAGUGAAGGUUUACAGACUGGUCAAGGAAGGACGAACAGACAGAACGGGGUCUGAGGGUGCACACUCCCGGGGAGGGUGGCGGGGCUCCCGGCCUCGCCUGGUGAGGUCGGGAGCCUCGCUGGGGCUGCGGUCCCAGAGCUUCGGCAAAGCCACCAGGCCAUGGGGAGCAGGGCUGUGGCAAGCAGGCCGCCUCGGAGAAAAACAAUGACUAACUCAUCCUGACAGGCAGUGGGGAGACUGAGACAGGAUCAACAUCAGAUGGCUGGACCGCCUCUUCCAUGCGCCAAGAACCGUGGGCGAGGGGAAAGCAACGCAAGCUCUGCCUCUCAUCACGUACAUUCAGAGGUUAACUCAGACGUGGCCUUCCUCAUGCCGCAGAGAGGGGACGGGGCUUGGGGAGGGGGCCAGGGGUCUGUGGGGCGUCCACUUCUGUUCUACAGUUCCUGUCUCAGUAGUCUCCCUUGGGAAGCUGCCUCAGGGUCUCAAAUUUUAGGCUUGACUGUUGUUUCUUAAAAAAAAAAAUAAACUUAACGUUUUCCUUCCAUGUCUGAAAAAGGAGCAGUAAUCUGCAUUUAGAAAAACAGUUUAAAGUGUUGUUCAGAUUGGCUAGGAAGCGCUUCAAGCAGUGGAAUAAACUAGGCAAACAGUACAUCUGGAGCCACUGUGACACGACAUGUAAUUAAAAAUAUAUUUAUAUAUGUAUACAUAUUUAUAUUUCACUUCUUCACACUCUGGUCCUAACAGCCAAGGGGGAGCUGCCCCUGUGGCCAGACCACCAAGGAGCCCGUUCGGAGGAAGCAGUGUCAGGCCCCAAGGUGCCCACAACACAGCCCCCUCCACACAGUUUCGGAGCGUCCUGCAUGAAGCUUGCUCUGAGCUCACCGUAGGGUCUAGGAGACCCCACUCCCCUGCCUGCUCCCUGACCUGAGCUCCCACUCCCAGGUCUUUCCUCUCUUUGGGAGCCUUGCCUCCUCCUAGCAGACACACCUCACACACUUCGGGGAGGCAGGCGCCGCUGAAGCACAGGUGGAGGCUGCCUGGCCACGACAGCAAGCUCGCCCUGGGGCCCACCCUGAGCAGCCCCACAUCAGCCAGCUCCUCCCUCAAGGCCUCCUACCCAUGUGCAUCUGUGUCCCCAGGCUGGGCUGGGGAGGAAGGGCAGUGAGGAGGAGCUUGAGGAAAGUCUGGGGGACGAAACUGUGGAGGGAGGAAGAAGGCAGGGUUCAGGGGCCAGGGACCAGAAGUGGCGUGGGCUUCUUGGGAAAGACCACCGACCUGUUUCAGGUAAACUUGUGCCCCCCACACCUUGUCGCCAACAGGCUAUUUUUGGAGACAGGCACAGCCUCCACACCUGGGACAAGAGGGCAGGUUGCAGCUGCAGGGAAAGUUGGAGAGAACUGGGGAAGCCUCUCCCCACUCACCACUCUCAGACUCAGAAUCAAUCACGAGAACCUCCCCUGCCUAUCACCUCCUGGCCAGUCCAAUGUGGACCAAGAGGGGCCUCCAACGUGACCCAGGGCCUGCCCAGCCUCAAUAAAAG